UUCCGGUUGAUCCCGCCGGAGGCUACCGCUAUUGGAGUUCGAUUAAGCCAUGCGAGUCGCGAGUCUUAGGGACUCGGCGUACCGCUCAGUAACACGUGGGUAACCUGCCCUAUGCUGGGGGAUAACCUCGGGAAACUGAGAAUAAUACCCCAUAGUUCACCACGCCUGGAACGGUGGGUGGAUGAAAGCUCCGGCGGCAUAGGAUGGGCCUGCGGCGUAUCAGGUUGUAGGGGGUGUAAUGUACCCUCUAGCCAUCUACGCGUACGGGUGUUGGGAGACAUCGCCCGGAGAUGGAUUCUGAGACACGAAUCCAGACCCUACGGGGUGCAGCAGGCGCGAAAACUUGGCAAUGCGAGCAAUCGUGACCAGGGAACUCCAAGUGCAUCGGGUAAGACCGAUGCUUUUCUUGACUCUUCAAAGGUCUUGGAAUAAGGGGUGGGUAAGGACGGUGCCAGCCGCCGCGGUAAUACCGGCGCCUCAAGUGGUAGUCGCUUUUAUUGGGCCUAAAACGUCCGUAGCCGGUCUGGUACAUUCGUGGGUAAAUCAACCCGCUCAACGGGUUGAAUUCUGCGAGCACGGCCAGACUUGGGACCGGGAGAGGUGUGGGGUACUCUCAGGGUAGGGGUAAAAUCCUGUCAUCCUGAGAGGACCACCUGUUGCGAAGGCGCCACACUAGAACGGAUUCGACGGUCAGGGACGAAACCUAGGGGCACGAACCGGAUUAGAUACCCGGGUAGUCCUAGGUGUAAACGCUGUGGACUUGAUGUUGGGGGCGCUCCGAGCGCUUUCAGUGUCGAAGCGAAGGUGAUAAGUCCACUGCCUGGGGAGUACGGUCGCAAGGCUGAAACUUAAAGGAAUUGGCGGGGGAGCACUGCAACCUGAGGAUUGUGCGGUUUAAUUGGAUUCAACGCCGG
rnacentral:rRNA from 1 species